ACGAGACUGGCUCAGUGGGUACAGCAUGGGAUUCUAGAUCUCAGGGUUGUGAGUUCAAGCCCCACGUUGGGCA
rnacentral:tRNA from 1 species